rnacentral:rRNA from 1 species
UACGGAGGGUGCGAGCGUUGUCCGGAAUCACUGGGCGUAAAGCGCACGUAGGCGGAUUUGUAAGUCAGGGGUGAAAUCCCGGGGCUCAACCUCGGAACUGCCUUUGAUACUGCAAAUCUCGAGUCCGGAAGAGGUGAGUGGAAUUCCUAGUGUAGAGGUGAAAUUCGUAGAUAUUAGGAAGAACACCAGUGGCGAAGGCGGCUCACUGGUCCGGUACUGACGCUGAGGUGCGAAAGCGUGGGGAGCAAACAGG